CACACUUGCCUUGAGAGAUUUUUAGUUCUCUGCUUGAUUUUUACUUUACUUUUAAAGUGAAAAUCGAAAUGUCUACUAGGAUUUCUGUUUUUAAUCGAAAUCAUGGCCUAAUCUUGAAGUGUCAUCCUGAUUAACUGUGCUUUUCUUCAAAGUUUUGAAGUUUCUUUGGAGUUGGGAAAUUUCGGCCACCAUAGCCUCAAAAUUUCUUGUUCUUGAUUUGAUUUUUACGUCAAUCCUUGGGCAAAAAUCUAAUUCAAGUAAAGAUCUUGCUAGGAUGUCUGGUUUUGGUUCGAUUCUUGAUCCUCUACUUGGAAGAAUUCGUUUUGUUCUCCUGGAAAUUUGGAAUUGAAAAUCCGUCCAGAUUGUUCUUGGAGUUGUUUCAUUUCUUGGUUGUGCAAAUUCGAGCCAGCCUUGAAUCUAUGUCGCACCCGCUGUUUCAGCAGAUUCUGACAACUAGUUUGGGGUGCAAGAAUCAAGCAUCAUAUAGGGAAGAAGUCAAACAGCCAUAAUGGUGGGAAGUUACCAAAAAUUGCACUUGGUAGGUUACCAAACUCUAAAUUUGGUAAGGAGCCCAAUCAAGAUGGUAAGUUACCAAAUACUAUACUUGGUCAAGAGCCCAAUCGUGGGUUGGAUGUCUUAAUUCCAAAUGAAUUUCCAGCACUUGGUAAAAAUUUUGGAGACUUAACAAUUGUGGUUGGAUCCAUUUCAAACGAAUUUCCAGCACUAGGAAAAGAUGAUGACAGUUCUUUAUCCAAUCUCGUUGAUUCUACUAAGGCCUUCUAGGAGGAAUUUGACUAUGAAAAUUCGAAAUCUCCAAGUUUGUCCCAAACAUUUGGUGAUGAGGAUGCUGAAUCUAAAGAAAGAUCGACUACAAUACAUCAGGAUUGCCGUUGAAUUUUUGGACGCCCAACGCAUUGACUAUGAUUGCAAUAAAGAUUGGAAGCCGAUUACAAUUGAAUUGCUGACGAUAACAAAGGGACGGUUAUCAUUUGCUCGAAUUCUUGUUAAGUUCGAUGCUUUAUAGGAUCUGGUUCGCAUGGUAAAGAUGGCACUUCCAAGUGGCAAAGUGAGAGAUCAACUAGUUUACUAUGAGCACGAGCCAAAAUUUUGCGCCACUUGCAAGAUAUUUGGGCACAAAACAGAUGCAUGCCAAGGGAAAAUGGUGCCUGCCAUCCAUGAGUGCUAUUCUUCCUAAGAAUGUGGCAGGGAAAACGGGGACACAGGGUAGUGAACACGACCAGAACAUUGCUGGGAGUUCAGGUCAGCAAGCUCAAGAUGGUCAGAACAUUGAUUGUAACUCAAGUCAGCCAACAAUCGAACAGAACUGUUCAUUGGAAACGGCCAAUACACGGUCUGAUCCGAAUGGCCAGAACGUUAGUGAAUCUGGACAGGCAGAAUCCACAAGCCAAAACAACGCACAAUGAGGUGCUCAACUGGCUACAAAUGAGGAUGAUACACCCCUAUCAUAGAGGUAGACAUGAAAUUUAAACCAGUGCAUGUGGCUAAGGGUCCGAUUCCAAAACGAAUUAACCACAACCUAUCUCGAGUGAUAAAGUGCAUCUAAAGAAGUCAAGAGCAGAAAUUGAAUCACCUAACUUACAUGACAAAAAUGAAGAUCUUGAUCCCUGCAGCAAAGGCAACAAUUAAUGAUAAAGCUUAAAAGAAAACUUGAUAUGCAACCAGCUAAACAAUUGUAGAAGGAUAAUAAGGUGGGGUUCGCCACCUUAUUAAACAACGAUUUAUUGAUGUUUUAUUGUUUUAGACGAAAAUCAACCAAGAUAAGUUAGCUUGGAUCAUGAGGAACAAAUUCGGUGGUUGGAGACAUGUUGAUAACUUUCUCUUACAUCCGGCAGGGAGAAUAUUGGUCCUAUCGUAUCAAACAAAAAUCGACCUUUGUAUCUUGGAAGCUGCCCCGCAGGUUAUACAUUGUGAAGUAACUUGCAAGGUAACUUUUAUCACAUCCUGUUUAAGUUUUUUUAUGGUUUCCAUUCUAUUGUUACUCGGAGGACGUUAUAGAGUAACUUGAUGGAUUUUGGAGCUUUAUGUUGGGUGAUCUUAACAAUGUGCUUCGAUCCUAGGAAAAAUAUAAUGGAGUGGAGGUAACUCCAUACGAGACUAGGGGACUUCACGAAUUGUUGUUUAAAUGCGUAUCUUAAGAUUUGAUAACCAUUGGAUGCUAUUAUACUUGGUCCAAAAAUUCAUUGGGUAGCAUAGUUUCGUUUGGAGCAAGCUCGAUUGAACUAUGGUUAAUGAAUUGUGACAACAAGUGGGUUUCAUGCCUUAGCUAAUUUCCAAUUAGCUUCUCUCGGACUUGGGCAUUGUCUCAAUUUUCUAGCAAGGUGGAGAGAAAGACAAACAUUUUAAAUGCUUCAAUAUGUAGACGGCUCAUUCAAAAGUUUAGAAUGUAGUUUCUUCCAGUUGAAACCAAUUGAUUUAUGGCAUGAAACAAUUUACUCUUUGUAAAAACUGUUAUAGAGGCUCAAAGAAGUUUUGAAGCAAAUCAAUAAAAAGCACUUUACUCAAUUUUCUGUUAGAGCUGAGAAAGCUAGAGAUGAUCUCAAGGCUACACAAAUGGAACUAAAAUGAUCAGCUGAUGAAUAUCGAAUUUCAAAUCAUGCCACUUUUAUGAAAAUAAGCCAUGAGUACUUGUGAUGCAGAGAGAAGUUUUUAUUACCGACAAGCCGGAAUGUGCGUACUUAAGCAAGAUUGAUAAAUGUACGAAAUUAUUUCACUCUUUGGCAGCUAUAAUCAAGGAGGACAGGACUCCUACGAAUUCCCAAAUGGAGGUGGCGACUGAAUUCCUAGGCUACUAUCAUAACCUACUUGGGACAAAUAGUGCAUGUGAUGCUAUCGAUCGAAAUAUUUAUGGUGAAGGGCCAUCACUUUUUCGGAACAUGUGGAAUCCCUUGUUAGGGAUAUUUCUAUACAUGAGAUUAAGGAUGAUUUGUUCAACAUUGAGGAUGAUAAAUCCUCGGGACCAUAUGGAUACAGUUCAUACUUCUUUAAUAAAGCUUUGGAGAAGAUCAAGGGUGAUUUUGUUGACGCUAUUACUGAAUUUUUCGGUCCCAACUCACUCCUUAAAUAAAUUAACCACACUGUUUGUACCCUUGAUUCUGAAAGGCAGCCACUCAUCUACAGAUAGGGAUUUCAAGCCUAUUUCAUGCUGCAACGUGGUUUACAAGGCUAUUGCUAAAUCUUAUCCAAUAGGUAUUGACUAUUCUUGGUUCUAUCAUUGACCAAUCGUAGGCAGCCUUGUGGUGGGGAGUAUCUUGGUUGUAAAUGUCCACCUUGCACAAGAACUAUUGAGGCAAUACAAUUGGAAGAGACUAUUGCCUAGACGCCUCCUUAAAAUCGAUCUUUGAAAGGCAUAUGAUUCCAUCAUUUCGGAAUUUAUAAAUUCUGUUUUAGAGGGACGGGGAUUUUCGUACAGAAUUAUUCAGUGGGUGAUUGUAUACAUCUCAACCCCCUCAUUCUUAAUUGUAAUUAAUGGUAGCACGCAUGGGUUCUUCAAAGGUAAAAGGGCCAUACGCUAAGGUGAUCCCUUCUAACCAUUCUUAUUUGUGAUUUGUCUUAAAUAUUUUUCUAGAGCUUUGAAAGUGGUUAUGAAUAACACCGAAUUUAAUUAUUAUUUGAAGUUUGGGCUCUUGAAAAUCACACAUCUAGUUUUUGUGGAUAACUUAAUGUUGUUUUCUAAAGGCGACGAUAUUUCGGUGCGCAUAAUGAUCCAUUGUUUGUCCAUGUUUGGUGAUUGCUUGGGACUUAGGAUGAAUGCAAAUAAAUCCAAAAUACUGCUAGAAUUCGGGGCAAAGACUUGGAUGAAAUCCUAGAGUUAGUGGACAGCCGAGAGGGUCCAUGUUCAGAUAUUUGGGAUUCCAUUAGGUGGAGAAAAAUUGAAAGUCAGCCACCAUGCUCAUUUUUUUGGAUAAAAAAUUGCUACAUAUGUACAUGCCUGGACGAGCACUUCAUUAUCUUAUGCCAACAUGGCUCAAUUGGUGAGAUCGGCCUUUCAAAGAGUUGAAUGCUUUUGGUUAUCCAUAUUUUCGAUUCCACACAUGGUCACUUUGAGGAUUAUAUGGCUUUGUAAGAAUUUCCUUUGGAAUUCCAAAAAAUCGCUAGUUGCAUGGCUGACGUUUGUCUUCCCAAAAGCAAGGGAGGAUUAGGAUUUUGGAGACUAGAGUGUUGGAAUAAUGCACUAUUAGCCAAGUCAUUGUGGAACAUACAUGCCAAGAAAGACACUUCGAUGCGGUGGGUCAAUCAUGUGUAUUUGAGAGAGGCAUCAAUAUGGGAAUGGUAAUCCAAGAAGGAUGAUUCACCAUUACUCAAAAAUAAUGUCCAUUGCAGAGUGCAUUAAGCAUAUCGAAGGAUCAACUCAUGCUGCCUAUCAAAAACUUUUAGAUUGGAUCCAUUGGGAUGAUAUAAGCAUUGCUAAAACUUAGGAUUAUUUCCGACCGAAGAGGAUACCAACGAUUUGGGCAAAGGUUGUUUCGAGCACAUGCUGCCUAUCAAAAACUUUUAGAUUGGAUCCAUUGGGAUGAUAUAAGCAUUGCUAAAACUUAGGAUUAUUUCCGACCGAAGAGGAUACCAACGAUUUGGGCAAAGGUUGUUUCGAGCACAUGCUGCCUAUCAAAAACUUUUAGAUUGGAUCCAUUGGGAUGAUAUAAGCAUUGCUAAAACUUAGGAUUAUUUCCGACCGAAGAGGAUACCAACGAUUUGGGCAAAGGUUGUUUCGAGCACAUGCACCACUCAUAAACAUUCAUUUUAUCGUUUGGCUUAGUGCAAAAACUAAGCACCUUACCAAAGAUCGUCUACAACAUAUGGAGAUUGACAAUAAGUGUGUAUUCUAUCAAGUUGAGACCGAAUCAGUCUAGCACCUUUUUCUUUUAAUGUGGCAUGAGCAUGGAAAUUUGGGGACAGAUCAGAGAUUGGCUUAGGAUCACUGGAGCCAUAUCUACUAUACCCAGUGCAUUGAAAGGAAUCAAGAAAGAGGGACGUGGAACAUCUUGGAAUGUAAUGCCAAGAAAAUAGCAGUGGCAAGCACUGCUUAUCAUAUCUUAGUAGCUAGAAACACGUUGAUCUUUGAAGAUCUUAGACUGCAUUCCAAUAGCAUCGUCAGAUGAAUCAAAAUACAAGUAUACUAAGUUAUGUUCUAAUUGUAUCAUCAUGUUUUGUAUCAUUAUGAAUCUUUAGCAUUGGGCAUUUAGAUUGAUA